rnacentral:rRNA from 1 species
AUGACCCUUGUCAAGUCGGUCAUCUCCUCCCAAGCGGUGUACUCUAUUAUGCCUCUUAUCGUGCCAGCAAGAUCACUUCAUAACCUAAACAAAAUUGAGAGGGCUUUCCUUUGGUCCGGCGCGGAUAAAACAAUGGGAGCCAAGUGCAAGGUCAACUGGCAAGUGGUGUGCCGACCAAAGGAGUACGGUGGAUUAGGAGUCCUCAAUACCGACAAGUUCGCACGUGCUCUGCGCCUUCGCUGGCUUUGGUACGAAUGGACGGAACCCCACAAGUUGUGGGUGGGU